UACGAAGGGGGCUAGCGUUGUUCGGAAUCACUGGGCGUAAAGGGCGCGUAGGCGGCUUUAUAAGUCGGGGGUGAAAGCCUGUGGCUCAACCACAGAAUUGCCUUCGAUACUGUAGAGCUUGAGACCGGAAGAGGUAAGUGGAACUGCGAGUGUAGAGGUGAAAUUCGUAGAUAUUCGCAAGAACACCAGUGGCGAAGGCGGCUCUCUGGGACGGUACUGACGCUGAGACGCGAAAGCGUGGGGAGCAAACAGG
rnacentral:rRNA from 1 species